GGCGUUUAAUCUUACAUAAAUUUUAUUUCUUAAUCAAGUGUCAAUAGAAUAAAUCUAUUGUUACGGAUAACAGUGGAUUUUGACGGCCGGGGGGAGGGGGUGGUUUCUUAUCCCGACACACUGUAUUUUUGACAUUGAGAUUGUCCGCCAGUUUAUGACAUAAUUUGUUAGAUUGAUUUGCCAAAGAUGAUUAAAUGAUUUGUUGAUAUAACCCCAAUGGUAUCUUCUAAAAUGCAUAUUUAAAGAAUGAUCGACCUCAAGCAAAUAAUUUUGCUCAAACCAGUGAUAGAGGUCGUCAUGAACCUGCAGUGAGGCUGAUUUGUUUU
rnacentral:lncRNA from 1 species